UACGAAGGGAGCUAGCGUUGUUCGGAAUCACUGGGCGUAAAGCGCACGUAGGCGGAUGUGUCAGUCAGGGGUGAAAUCCCGGAGCUCAACUUCGGAACUGCCUCUGAUACAGCACGUCUUGAGUCCGGAAGAGGUGGGUGGAAUUCCUAGUGUAGAGGUGAAAUUCGUAGAUAUUAGGAAGAACACCGGUGGCGAAGGCGGCCCACUGGUCCGGUACUGACGCUGAGGAGCGAAAGCGUGGGGAGCGAACAGG
rnacentral:rRNA from 1 species